GGUAAUGGGUAGGUAAAUUAUGGACAGGGUCACAGAAAGCACAGUGAGGUCAAGAGAGUCACAGAUGCCAGACGCAAGGAGAAGCAGAACUGCAGAUUGUAUUGAUUUACUUCACUCAACCCACAUGGAAAUGGCCAUGUUAACUUGGUCGUAUGUUGUCUCCGUGCUACUUGUAUGUACGACCCAAGGUGAAUGCACCACCCUUAGGAUUUCCUGCACACACAGAGAAUAUCUAUUCUCUCCUAAAGGAACUCCAAGCGUGGAGCUGCAGGAGGUUGAAAAGAAGGAAGUGCCUCAGGAAUCCCAGGAUGAAUGUGUUUUGACUCCUUCAAUUCUCCAAGGAAGUUCUGACUGCAACCAGCCUUACAGUGAUGGCAAAUUUGCAUUUGAUGAAUCAGAAGUGGACCCUGCUCCGGAUGGAGCCUGUGGUUGCUCCCAUGCUGAAGAGGAUGAAAUUCCAACUGAUCUCCCAAGUAGCCUCCAUAUUUGUUCCCCACACCUGUGUAGACUGAGGAAGGUCAUCUCUGAAGAUAGUCCCUAUAGAUACAUCUUGCUUAAAUCAGGGAAAAGGAUCUAUUAUGAAACACAGACAUCAGGUGGCUCAGGGAGCCUUUAUCCCUUUCUAGGCCCCAGUCAUGCCUUUGUCACCCUGACACCAGUGUCAGGCAUUUGGACUCAAAUCAGGUGUGACAAACUCUCAUCCACCUUGGGUGGAAAUCUACAGGAGGUGUUUGUCAGACCUAGUUUGGAUCAAAUGUGUCUUGUCACCUGCAAUGACCUAAUUUUUGUUGUUUUGUACAAUGUCCCUGGCCUUCCUAUCCCUAUCCAGACAAAACGGCAGACUUGCAUAUACAUCAGGAGAGGUUGUUUCCCUGGUUUCACUGCUCUCAGUCCCAGUCUCCAUCUUCUCUAUGUUGGCUUCUAACUGUUAGCUAAGCAGUCAUCUGAAAACCAGGACAGACACAGCUGUACCAUUGCCUUGUUUGGAUGUUUCCAUGAAGCAAGGCUGGGCUCUGGCAGUCCCUCAGCUUUGAAUGGGGAUGGUUUCUGUGUCGCACCAAAGAUUCUUUUUUGGUUUGAGGGUUUAUACAAUUCAUCCAUCACUCUAGUCUCAAGUAUAAAUUCCUCUAAACCAUCAGCAACCACAUAAUCUGAUGGGACUAACCAAUAUUGUAGAAACAAUUCUAGAAAAUAACUCAGCUCAUUUUCUAGGAUCACUGGGGAAAAUAUAUCAUUAACUAUUUAUACAGGCUCAGAACAAAGGAUGUUGGGAGAGCACGCUACCAGAUCAAUAAGAGAAUUUCCCUGAUGGGUCUGGGGUCCAGUCUAAUUCUAAGACUUAAGUGUCCUGGAAUGUCUCUGCUAAUGUAUUAUGUUCUUGCACUGAGAAUAUUCAUGUCCUUGUGGUGUGUUCACUGAGUAGGUAUGUGUGAGACGUGAUUUGCUUAUUGUGACCCACUGUCUCUGAAUUUCUUGCUAGACAAUCAAAAUGAUCAUAAGCAAGUGGAUGGACAAGAGCCAGUAUCCCCCAGCGUGAACCUACAGGAUGUUGGAAAGAAGGAAGUGCUCCAGGAAUCCCAAGAUGAAUGUGUUUUGGCUCCUUCA